AACAUCGCCUCUUGCAAACAUCAAAAUAUAAGAGGUCUUACCUGCCCAGUGACAUUAAGUUAAACGGCCGCGGUAUUUUGACCGUGCUAAGGUAGCGCAAUCACUUGUCUUUUAAAUGAAGACCUGUAUGAAUGGUGGAACGAGGGCUUAACUGUCUCCCUUUUCAGGUCAGUGAAAUUGAUCUGUCCGUGCAGAAGCGGACAUAAACAUACAAGACGAGAAGACCCUUUGGAGCUUAAGACACAAGGUCAACUACGUCAAUACCUCCCAUUAAUGAAAACAAAACAAAGUAAAAACUGACCAACGUCUUCGGUUGGGGCGACCGCGGGGGAAAAACAAGCCCCCAUGUGGACUGGGGCAACCUAAAACCACGAGGGACACCUCUAAGUCACAGAACAUCUGACUAAAAGAUCCGGCACUAGCCGAUCAACGAACUAAGUUACCCUAGGGA
rnacentral:rRNA from 1 species